UGGGGAAUUUUGGACAAUGGGCGAAAGCCUGAUCCAGCAAUGCCGCGUGUGUGAAGAAGGCCUUCGGGUUGUAAAGCACUUUUGUCCGGAAAGAAAUCCUUGGCUCUAAUACAGUCGGGGGAUGACGGUACCGGAAGAAUAAGCACCGGCUAACUACGUGCCAGCAGCCGCGGUAAUACGUAGGGUGCAAGCGUUAAUCGGAAUUACUGGGCGUAAAGCGUGCGCAGGCGGUUUGCUAAGACCGAUGUGAAAUCCCCGGGCUCAACCUGGGAACUGCAUUGGUGACUGGCAGGCUAGAGUAUGGCAGAGGGGGGUAGAAUUCCACGUGUAGCAGUGAAAUGCGUAGAGAUGUGGAGGAAUACCGAUGGCGAAGGCAGCCCCCUGGGCCAAUACUGACGCUCAUGCACGAAAGCGUGGGGAGCAAACAGGAUUAGAUACCCUGGUAGUCCACGCCCUAAAACGAUGUCAACUAGUUGUUGGGGAUUCAUUUCCUUAGUAACGUAGCUAACGCGUGAAGUUGC
rnacentral:rRNA from 1 species